GACGAACGCUGGCGGCGUGCUUAACACAUGCAAGUCGAGCGAUGAAGCUCCUUCGGGAGUGGAUUAGCGGCGGACGGGUGAGUAACACGUGGGUAACCUGCCUCAUAGAGGGGAAUAGCCUUCCGAAAGGAAGAUUAAUACCGCAUAAGAUUGUAGUACCGCAUGGUAUAGCAAUUAAAGGAGUAAUCCGCUAUGAGAUGGACCCGCGUCGCAUUAGCUAGUUGGUGAGGUAACGGCUCACCAAGGCGACGAGGCGUAGCCGACCUGGGAGGGUGAUCGGCCACAUUGGGACUGAGACACGGCCCAGACUCCUACGGGAGGCAGCGGUGGGGAAUAUUGCACAAUGGGGGAAACCCUGAUGCAGCAACGCCGCGUGAGUGAUGACGGUCUUCGGAUUGUAAAGCUCUGUCUUCAGGGACGAUAAUGACGGUACCUGAGGAGGAAGCCACGGCUAACUACGUGCCAGCCGCCGCGGUAA
rnacentral:rRNA from 1 species